rnacentral:rRNA from 1 species
AUACGUAGGGGGCGAGCGUUGUCCGGAAUCACUGGGCGUAAAGGGUGCGUAGGCGGCAUAAUAAGUCAGAUGUGAAAUCCCAGGGCUUAACCCUGGAGUUGCAUUUGAAACUGUGAUGCUUGAGUGCAGGAGAGGGAAGCGGAAUUCCUAGUGUAGCGGUGAAAUGCGUAGAGAUUAGGAGGAACACCAGUGGCGAAGGCGGCUUUCUGGACUGUAACUGACGCUGAGGCACGAAAGCGUGGGGAGCGAACAGGAUUAGAUACCCUGGUAGUCCACGCCGUAAACGAUGGAUACUAGGUGUAGGCGGUUUCAAUACUGUCUGUGCCGUAGUUAACGCAAUAAGUAUCCCGCCUGGGGAGUACGGCCGCAAGGCUGAA